UACGUAGGGAGCAAGCGUUGUUCGGAUUUACUGGGCGUAAAGGGUGCGUAGGUGGGUUGAUAAGUCAGUGGUGAAAUCCCCGAGCUUAACUUGGGAACUGCCAUUGAUACUAUUGAUCUUGAAUACCGUGGAGGUCAGCGGAAUAUGUCAUGUAGCGGUGAAAUGCUUAGAUAUGACAUAGAACACCAAUUGCGAAGGCAGCUGGCUACGCGAAUAUUGACACUGAUGCACGAAAGCGUGGGGAUCAAACAGG
rnacentral:rRNA from 1 species